AUUGAACGCUGGCGGCAGGCUUAACACAUGCAAGUCGAGCGGUAGCACAGGGGAGCUUGCUCCCUGGGUGACGAGCGGCGGACGGGUGAGUAAUGUCUGGGAAACUGCCUGAUGGAGGGGGAUAACUACUGGAAACGGUAGCUAAUACCGCAUAACGUCGCAAGACCAAAGAGGGGGACCUUCGGGCCUCUUGCCAUCAGAUGUGCCCAGAUGGGAUUAGCUAGUAGGUGGGGUAAUGGCUCACCUAGGCGACGAUCCCUAGCUGGUCUGAGAGGAUGACCAGCCAAACUGGAACUGAGACACGGUCCAGACUCCUACGGGAGGCAGCAGUGGGGAAUAUUGCACAAUGGGCGCAAGCCUGAUGCAGCCAUGCCGCGUGUGUGAAGAAGGCCUUCGGGUUGUAAAGCACUUUCAGCGAGGAGGAAGGUGGUGAGCUUAAUACGUUCAUCAAUUGACGUUACUCGCAGAAGAAGCACCGGCUAACUCCGUG
rnacentral:rRNA from 1 species